AUGAGGUUCCAGGUUCAGGUUCUGGGGCUCCUUCUGCUCUGGAUAUCAGGUGCCCAGUGUGAUGUCCAGAUAACCCAGUCUCCAUCUUAUCUUGCUGCAUCUCCUGGAGAAACCAUUACUAUUAAUUGCAGGGCAAGUAAGAGCAUUAGCAAAUAUUUAGCCUGGUAUCAAGAGAAACCUGGGAAAACUAAUAAGCUUCUUAUCUACUCUGGAUCCACUUUGCAAUCUGGAAUUCCAUCAAGGUUCAGUGGCAGUGGAUCUGGUACAGAUUUCACUCUCACCAUCAGUAGCCUGGAGCCUGAAGAUUUUGCAAUGUAUUACUGUCAACAGCAUAAUGAAUACCCGUAC